GGAGAGAUGGCCGAGUGGACGAUGGCGCUCGCCUCGAAAGCGAGUGAGCGGGUUACCGCUCCGUGAGUUCGAAUCUCACUCUCUCCG
rnacentral:tRNA from 1 species